AACUUUGAAUAAUACAAAACUUUAUAUCACAGCUUGUUGUAAAAUAAAAAUCUUCAAUAAAAGAAAUGCAACAUCAUUGGGUUUCUUUGCACAGUCACUGUAACUUCAGGAAAGAGGAAAUUUCUUCGAGUUGCUGAAGUGUUUCUGGGGCUGCUGUGUCUUUUGCUCCUGGCUGCUGUCAUCGUCCUGUUGGUCCUACUGAUUCAAGAGAAAAGCAACUGGAACACUGAGAGAAGGGAACUGAUGAGCGAAAGACAGGAACUCAUGACGAACAUUACUGAAAUACAACGCCUCAAUGCCAACCUGAGCAAAACAACAAGCCUUUUGAAGGAUGCUAAUGUUAACCUCACCAAAGAGAGAGAAAAACUACAAGAACAGUUUGAUAAUAGCAGCUGGAACACUGAGAGAAGGGAACUGAUGAAAGAAAGACAGGAACUCAUGACGAACAUUACUGAAAUACAACACCUCAAUGCCAACCUGAGCAAAACAACAAGCCUUUUGAAGGAUGCUAAUGUUAACCUCACCAAAGAGAGAGAAAAACUACAAGAACAGUUUGGUAAGUGAAAAUAUAAAUCCAUCCAUUGUUAUUAAUCCUCAUUAGGGUUGGGGGGGG